rnacentral:lncRNA from 10 species
CAGGCAACACCUCCCUGUAGGGGUGUGAGGCUCUCACUAUCUACAGGAGAAGCAGGAAACUGCCCACAUCAGCAGGAGACUCCAGAUGUCUAGGGAAGAAGGAAAAGAGAGAAUCAUUGAAAAGGAGAUAAAUGGAGAACAGAGGGCUGACUGGGAAAGAAUGAGGAUCCCCCAGGGAUGUCUCAGUGGGCUGGAGGAGUGCCCUCAGACUGGAUUAGACUUCUCUCUGGACCCCCUCCCUCCACAUGCUUUCUGAUUGUGUCUUUGGGUGGUUGCAGCCUCUACCAGAUGACUGCACAUUACACAAUAACAAGGGCGAGUUGUGGGAUCCUCCCUGUGCAAUUCCUGAUUUUACGUGUGUCCAACCAGCCUUACAAGGGUUGAGGAGGCGGAGUAUCUUUGCAUUUGGACUUUCUUGAGGCCAUCACAUACCCUUCUGAUGCUUCUACCGUGAUCCAGGCAGGGUAGAAAUAAAGGUGAUCUGAGAAGACCUAACCCAAAGGAAACAAAAAUCAGAGCCCAGAUCCCCCAGCUGAGCCAUUAAACCAAAGGGGCUGGGAAGAGACAGUAAAUCCAGACAUGAGGCCAUUGGAUAGAAAUGGGAAAUGACAUGAAAACGAAAACCACUUCAAAAUGAAAAAGAUGGAGCCAGGAAAAUUUCCCUGUACUGAGGAGGGUAGCACCAGAAUUUUUCCAAGGCAACUGCAGCCUCAUGACCUGUGAUGGAGGGAAAGAAGGCUGGUGAUGGUAGCCAGCCAGCCUGCUGAGUGGCCCGUGAUUGUACAUUUCAAUUCCUGCAGACAGAGAAACAAGGAUAGAGAAAAAAGAAGGGGAAAGGAGGUGAAAGAAGGUGAAAGGGAAGGGAGGAAGGCAAGACGGAAGCCGAAGCAGAAGCAGGAAUAGAAACCAGAAAUAGAGAGGCAGCAUGUCAUUCCGGAUUCUACCACAGCUCCAUCACAAACUGAGUUCGGGGAACUCUCUCUCCAAGAGUCCUAACUCCUGGUUUUUAUCUCUAAUUGGUUUUAGUAGGAACUGUUGUGGAAUGUUUUUUUUCCUUUUUAAAAAAUCCAAGGAGAUUUUAUGCUUUUAAUAAGCUUUCCUGUUCCUGAACUGCUGUGGAUAAACCAUGAUCCCAGAAGCCAGUUCCAGUUCUUAGUAGACAGGCAGGAAGCAUUCAGUGAGAGAUGCUCCCCAAGCACCUCCGAGUCCAGAGUUGUCUUGUAGAAAUCCCAGGCUGGACAGCCUUAGGGAUAUGUGGAACAGACAACCUGAAGGCCAGAACAAUCAUGAGAGGGUGUGGACCACACCCCAGCAGCCAUCCAGCUAUCUCUAGGAGCCAGAUCCCAAACCGCUGAAGCCAAGUGGAAGAAGCCAAGUGAAGGGCUAUGGGGACCUAGAAGAUGGAGUCGUCACACAGUGGAAGAAUUGCAGAUCUCUGAGUCACCAUUUGGACAAGAACCUACUAGAACAGGUGCCUGAACAAGAACACUGGACUUUGUACAGGACCUGGACUAGCUUAGACGAAUGAGGCACUUGCCUCUGGCACAAAAGGGGGCACCAAACACCUCGGUAAUCAAGGGAUACUGCUGGAAGAUGGACAGUGAAUUGUCAGAAUUCAGAAGUUCCAGGUCAGAGGUUGACUCAGCCACCCCUGGGCUGAUGGAACCAUCAGAAGGAUCCUCUGAUUCAGUCCCCAAACUGGGCCCUGUGGAGCAGCAUCCCAGACAGCAGGAAUCGGACCUGCAAUUACUCCUUGGGACUCAGGGAGGAGUUUUAACAAGAAAACUGCACAUCUUCAGAGCAGGUGGUCUUUUCUGUCUCUAUAAUCAAACAAAAAUUUUUUUCGACUGUUCUAUAACAGACUGCUGCCUGGGAUCCUAGAACUGUUGCGUUUUUGAUCUUCCUCUUCGCAGCAUGGACAGUGGAUCCCCUUGAUCUGCAAGCCCUGCCCUGCCUCUCUCUGCACGCUGGGGGUUCAGGGAGGCUACACCCUUGGGGGGCACUGGGAGCUGCUGGAGAUGUGCACAGCGAGCAGUGGAGAGCAGUCGUCUCUUCUGAUCUACAUGCAGGGGAACUGGUGAGAGUUGCCGUAGGACCUCUGGUGAAAUUACCUUGGCUACUGACUAGUAAAGAGAUGAGAAAGGAGAGGUACUAUAGAUUUUCUUUAAGAAAUAAAUAUUGUCUCCUCUUUCUCUCUUUUCUCUGGUAAACAGUGCCCAAAUUUGGAAAUAUCACGUGUAAUUUAUUGUCCCACUUUAAAUGUUUCUUGUAACCAUGAAUUACUAUUCUUGGAUCAGAUUCCAUUAUAAUAAACUCCCACUUGGACUCCAAAUUCUUUUACAACAGUGGAAUUUUGCUUGAACUAACGCAUUGUUAUAAAUCACAUUUUCUGACCCCAGCCUGGAGUUCA